rnacentral:rRNA from 1 species
AGAGUUUGAUCCUGGCUCAGGAUGAACGCUGGCGGCGUGCUUAACACAUGCAAGUCGAACGGGGAUGCUUAUGGAAGGAGUGCUUGCACUUUGGAAAUGAGUAUCUUAGUGGCGGACGGGUGAGUAACGCGUGGGUAACCUGCCCCAUACCGGGGGAUACCACCUGGAAACAGGUGCUAAUACCGCAUAAGCGCACGGGAGCGCAUGCUCCUGUGUGAAAAACUCCGGUGGUAUGGGAUGGACCCGCGUCUGAUUAGCCAGUUGGCAGGGUAACGGCCUACCAAAGCGACGAUCAGUAGCCGGCCUGAGAGGGUGGACGGCCACAUUGGGACUGAGACACGGACCAGACUCCUACGGGAGGCAGCAGUGAGGAAUAUUGGUCAAUGGGCGAGAGCCUGAACCAGCCAAGUCGCGUGAGGGAAGACGGUCCUAUGGAUUGUAAACCUCUUUUGUCGGGGAGCAAAGAGGCCACGUGUGGUCAAAAGUGAGAGUACCCGAAGAAAAAGCAUCGGCUAACUCCGUGCCAGCAGCCGCGGUAAUACGGAGGAUGCGAGCGUUAUCCGGAUUUAUUGGGUUUAAAGGGUGCGUAGGCGGGCUGAUAAGUCAGCGGUUAAAAUGCGGUGCUCAACGCCGUAGUGCCGUUGAAACUGUCGGUCUUGAGUGAGCGAGAAGUAUGCGGAAUGCGUGGUGUAGCGGUGAAAUGCAUAGAUAUCACGCAGAACUCCGAUUGCGAAGGCAGCUUACCAGUCUGCGACUGACGCUCAGGCACGAAAGCGUGGGUAUCGAACAGGAUUAGAUACCCUGGUAGUCCACGCGGUAAACGAUGAUUACUAAUUGUCCGGUUCGAAUGAGGACUGGGUGAUACAGCGAAAGCGUUAAGUAAUCCACCUGGGGAGUACGCCGGCAACGGUGAAACUCAAAGGAAUUGACGGGGGCCCGCACAAGCGGAGGAACAUGUGGUUUAAUUCGAUGAUACGCGAGGAACCUUACCCGGGCUCAAACGCAUGAGGACAGUCCCUGAAAGGGGAUCUUCUUCGGACCUUAUGCGAGGUGCUGCAUGGUUGUCGUCAGCUCGUGCCGUGAGGUGUCGGCUUAAGUGCCAUAACGAGCGCAACCCCUAUCGACAGUUGCUAACAGGCAAAGCUGAGGACUCUGUCGAGACUGUCGGCGCAAGCUGUGAGGAAGGCGGGGAUGACGUCAAAUCAGCACGGCCCUUACGUCCGGGGCGACACACGUGUUACAAUGGCAGGUACAGCGGGAAGCCAUGUGGCGACACAGAGCGGAACCCGAAAACCUGUCUCAGUUCGGAUUGGAGUCUGCAACUCGACUCCAUGAAGCUGGAUUCGCUAGUAAUCGCGCAUCAGCCGCGGCGCGGUGAAUACGUUCCCGGGCCUUGCACUCACCGCCCGUCA